rnacentral:rRNA from 1 species
AUUGAACGCUGGCGGUAUGCUUAACACAUGCAAGUCGAACGCUGAAGGGUGCUUGCACCUGGAUGAGUGGCGGACGGGUGAGUAAUGCAUAGGAAUCUGCCUAUUAGUGGGGGAUAACGUGGGGAAACUCACGCUAAUACCGCAUACGCUCUACGGAGGAAAGCCGGGGACCUUCGGGCCUGGCGCUAAUAGAUGAGCCUAUGUCGGAUUAGCUAGUUGGUGGGGUAAAGGCCUACCAAGGCGACGAUCCGUAGCUGGUCUGAGAGGAUGAUCAGCCACACUGGGACUGAGACACGGCCCAGACUCCUACGGGAGGCAGCAGUGGGGAAUAUUGGACAAUGGGCGCAAGCCUGAUCCAGCAAUACCGCGUGUGUGAAGAAGGCCUGAGGGUUGUAAAGCACUUUCAAUGGGAAGGAACACCUAUCGGUUAAUACCCGGUAGACUGACAUUACCCAUACAAGAAGCACCGGCUAACUCCGUGCCAGCAGCCGCGGUAA